rnacentral:rRNA from 1 species
AUUGAACGCUGGCGGCAGGCCUAACACAUGCAAGUCGAGCGGAUGAAGGGAGCUUGCUCCUGGAUUCAGCGGCGGACGGGUGAGUAAUGCCUAGGAAUCUGCCUGGUAGUGGGGGAUAACGUCCGGAAACGGGCGCUAAUACCGCAUACGUCCUGAGGGAGGAAGUGGGGGAUCUUCGGACCUCACGCUAUCAGAUGAGCCUAGGUCGGAUUAGCUAGUUGGUGGGGUAAAGGCCUACCAAGGCGACGAUCCGUAACUGGUCUGAGAGGAUGAUCAGUCACACUGGAACUGAGACACGGUCCAGACUCCUACGGGAGGCAGCAGUGGGGAAUAUUGGACAAUGGGCGAAAGCCUGAUCCAGCCAUGCCGCGUGUGUGAAGAAGGUCUUCGGAUUGUAAAGCACUUUAAGUUGGGGGGAAGGGCAGUAAGUUAAUACCUUGCUGUUUUGACGUUACCAACAGAAUAAGCACCGGCUAACUUCGUG